rnacentral:rRNA from 1 species
AUUGAACGCUGGCGGCAGGCCUAACACAUGCAAGUCGAGCGAGCGGCGGACGGGAGAGUAAUGUCUGGAAAACUGCCUGAUGGAGGGGGAUACCUAAGGAAAACGGUGCCUAAUACCGCAUACCAGCCAAUGAUCCCUGCUGGGAUUAGCUAGUAGGUAGGGUAAUGGCUCACCAAGGCGACGAUCCCUAGCUGGUCUGAGAGGAUGACCAGCCACACUGGAACUGAGAAACGGUCCAGACUCCUACGGGAGGCAGCAGUGGGGAAUAUUGCACAAUGGGCGCAAGCCUGAUGGAGCAAUGCCGCGUGUGUGAAGAAGGCCUUCGGGUUGUAAAGCACUUUCAGUGAGGAGGCGUUACUCGCAGAAGAAGCACCGGCUAACUCCGUGCCAGCAGCCGCGGUAAUAC